GACGAACGCUGGCGGCGCGCCUAACACAUGCAAGUCGAACGGAGCUUAGAGAGCUUGCUUUUUAAGCUUAGUGGCGAACGGGUGAGUAACGCGUGAGUAACCUGCCCUAGAGUGGGGGACAACAGUUGGAAACGACUGCUAAUACCGCAUAAGCCCACGGUACCGCAUGGUACUGAGGGAAAAGGAUUUAUUCGCUUUAGGAUGGACUCGCGUCCAAUUAGCUAGUUGGUGAGGUAACGGCCCACCAAGGCGACGAUUGGUAGCCGGACUGAGAGGUUGAACGGCCACAUUGGGACUGAGACACGGCCCAGACUCCUACGGGAGGCAGCAGUGGGGGAUAUUGCACAAUGGGGGAAACCCUGAUGCAGCGACGCCGCGUGGAGGAAGAAGGUUUUCGGAUUGUAAACUCCUGUCGUUAGGGACGAUAAUGACGGUACCUAACAAGAAAGCACCGGCUAA
rnacentral:rRNA from 1 species